rnacentral:rRNA from 1 species
GACAGAGGGUGCAAACGUUGUUCGGAAUUACUGGGCGUAAAGCGCGUGUAGGCGGCAGGGCAUGUCGGAUGUGAAAUCCCGUGGCUCAACCACGGAAGUGCACCCGAAACUGCCCAGCUUGAGUCUCGGAGAGGAAGGCGGAAUGCUUGGUGUAGAGGUGAAAUUCGUAGAUAUCAAGCGGAACACCGGUGGCGAAGGCGGCCUUCUGGACGAUGACUGACGCUGAGACGCGAAAGCGUAGGGAGCAAACAGG